UGGGAUGAAUCCAUUUGAUGGAAGUGUG
rnacentral:piRNA from 1 species